rnacentral:rRNA from 1 species
UGCAGUCGACGGCAGCACAGAGGAGCUUGCUCCUUGGGUGGCGAGUGGCGGACGGGUGAGGAAUACAUCGGAAUCUGCCUAUUUGUGGGGGAUAACGUAGGGAAACUUACGCUAAUACCGCAUACGACCUACGGGUGAAAGCGGAGGACCUUCGGGCUUCGCGCAGAUAGAUGAGCCGAUGUCGGAUUAGCUAGUUGGCGGGGUAAAGGCCCACCAAGGCGACGAUCCGUAGCUGGUCUGAGAGGAUGAUCAGCCACACUGGAACUGAGACACGGUCCAGACUCCUACGGGAGGCAGCAGUGGGGAAUAUUGGACAAUGGGCGCAAGCCUGAUCCAGCCAUGCCGCGUGGGUGAAGAAGGCCUUCGGGUUGUAAAGCCCUUUUGUUGGGAAAGAAAAGCAGUCGGUUAAUACCCGAUUGUUCUGACGGUACCCAAAGAAUAAGCACCGGCUAACUUCGUGCCAGCAGCCGCGGUAAUACGAAGGGUGCAAGCGUUACUCGGAAUUACUGGGCGUAAAGCGUGCGUAGGUGGUUUGUUAAGUCUGAUGUGAAAGCCCUGGGCUCAACCUGGGAAUUGCAUUGGAUACUGGCAGGCUAGAGUGCGGUAGAGGGUAGUGGAAUUCCCGGUGUAGCAGUGAAAUGCGUAGAGAUCGGGAGGAACAUCCGUGGCGAAGGCGACUACCUGGACCAGCACUGACACUGA